UAGUGUUACAGCUCUUAUAGAAUUUAUCUAAGAAGUUUUCUGGUUUUUAUCAGAAACACUCCC
ensembl:snRNA U7 U7 small nuclear RNA